rnacentral:lncRNA from 1 species
AAGAUGCCAGGGUUCUCUCACCUGGCUCUAUCUCCCAUUCAGAAUAGGUCCCAGAAAGAACUAUGCAAAAUGUGCUUGCUCCUUCCUCUAGGCAGGCCCUGAAAUGAAAUCUGUACUUAUGUUAUUCCUUUUGUGUGACUUCUCUUGGUGAGUAUUCAGUUUCUUCUCUGCAUAUCCAGAAAACAGUAUCACAAGGCAGUGUUUUC